GGCCGGGUAGCUCAGCUGGUAGAGCACGCGACUGAAAAUCGCGGUGUCGGCAGUUCGACUCUGUCCCCGGCCACCA
rnacentral:tRNA from 1 species